UUCUAUUAAUUAUGCAAUUAAGUAAGAACAUAUAUAAAGGAUGUGAAAAUUGAUACAACCCGUCUAGCAAUGGCAGCUUUGGCUUUAUUAGAAGACAUUUUCAAUGGACAAAUCCGGAGAGAACAAGUUUUUAGGGACCACGGUGAUUUUCUGGCCCACGACGAUGACUGGCUCAUCAGCCGUUUCAGAUUUCCAAGGGCUAUACUCUUGGAGCUCUGCGCUGAGUUGGGUCCGAAUUUGGAAAGAGAGACAGUGAGGAGCCACGCAUUACCCGUUCCUUUACAGGUGCUUACUACACUUGGUUUCCUAGCAACCGGUUCUUUCCAAAGAGAACUGGCAGACCGCUCAGGAAUAAGCCAGUCGUGUUUGAGCCGUGCAAUGCCACCUGUAUGGGACGGCAUCAUCCGCUUGUCUACCAGGUAUAUAACGUUCCCAUACGAUGCAGGUGACCAGCCAAACAUCAAAGCGCAAUUUGCAGCGAUAGCCGGUUUUCCUAAUGUAAUCGGAGCGAUCGACUGCACACAUAUUGCUAUAAAGGCGCCAUCUGAAGACGAAUUUGCAUAUGUGAAUCGGAAACAUUUCCAUUCAAUAAAUGUGCAGAUUAUAUGUGAUGCACAAAUGCGCCUAACAAAUAUUGUGGCAAGGUGGCCUGGGUCAACCCAUGAUUCAUAUAUCCUUACAAACAGCAUGGUUGGGAUGAGACUCCAAGCUGGCAGGGUGCGCGAUGGGUGGCUACUUGGAGACAGUGGUUAUCCACUAAAGACGUGGCUGUUAACCCCCCUCACCAACCCACAAACUGACCGAGAGCGCAGA